rnacentral:rRNA from 1 species
UCCGUAGGUGAACCUGCGGAGGGAUCAUUACCGAGUUUACAACUCCCAAACCCCUGUGAACUAUACCAUGUCGUUGCCUCGGCGGCGCUUACCUCCCCCAGCCCGGGGGGGGGGCCGCCAGAGGACCCAAACUCUUGUUUUUGAAUCUAGUCUUCUCUGAGUGAAACAAGCAAUAAAUUAAAACUUUCAACAACGGAUCUCUUGGCUCUGGCAUCGAUGAAGAACGCAGCGAAAUGCGAUAAGUAAUGUGAAUUGCAGAAUUCAGUGAAUCAUCGAAUCUUUGAACGCACAUUGCGCCCGCCAGCACUCUGGCGGGCAUGCCUGCCCGAGCGUCAUUUCAACCCUCAAGCCCCCCCGGGUGCUUGGUGUUGGAGGCCGGCGAGCCGCCCCCCGUGGGCGCCGCCGCCUCCCAAAUCUAGUGGCGGUCUCGCUGUAGCCUCCCCUGCGUAGUAACUCACCUCGCACUGGAGAGCGGCGCGGCCACGCCGUUAAACACCCCACUUCUGAACGGUUGACCUCGGAUCAGGUAGGACUACCCGCUGAACUUAAGCAUAUCAAUAAGCGGAGGA